rnacentral:rRNA from 1 species
UACAGAGGGUGCAAGCGUUGUUCGGAAUUAUUGGGCGUAAAGCGCGUGUAGGCGGCUUUGCAAGUCGGGUGUGAAAGCCCUCAGCUCAACCGAGGAAGUGCGCCCGAAACUGCAGAGCUUGAGUACUGGAGAGGAUGGUGGAAUUCCCCAAGUAGAGGUGAAAUUCGUAGAUAUGGGGAGGAACACCGGUGGCGAAGGCGACCAUCUGGACAGAUACUGACGCUGAGACGCGAAAGCGUGGGGAGCAAACAGG